GAGCUCAGCAAGCUACCCGCUGAACUUAAGCAUAUCAAUAAGCGGAGGAAAAGAAACUAACAGGAUGCGCUUAGUAACGGCGAGCGACGCGCAAGCCACUGAAAAUCUCCCUUGAGAUGUAGUCUAUAGAAGUACCCUCUGCACGGGCGAGCUCAAGUUCCUCUUGGAAGGAGCGUUCAG
rnacentral:rRNA from 1 species